CCCGUUCGGGGCGGCAAGAGGCCACCGCGUCAGUGAGAGACCCUACCCUCUCUGCCUCGACCGCCGGUGUAGUAGCCCAAACUCAAACUGCUCCCUGGCAGAAUUUCCUGUGCCACUACACCGGCGCUGCGGUUAGUGAGUCGCAAAGGAUGACAGCUGGAAAGAUCUAAGAAAGGACGAAAGACACCGGGGGGAAGAUGAGCCCUGUCUGGAAAAGGGAUCUGGUCUCUGAAGAUUUAAGCUGCAAGCAGGGUAGCUAACCUGCAUUCUGCCCAAAAGCAACAUUUAGGGAAGAGGCUACCCUUUCACCAACCUACCCAGAAGGGUUCUCCGUUGGCCACCUUAAGGAGGACAGAAGAGGAAUUAGAAGGGAAAGGAGGAAAUACCAAGGAUGAAGGGUACCAGGGAGAGAUGAGAUAUUGAAUUGAGAGAAGAAACCAGCAUCUGUACACAAGGUUUUGGGGAUGACUGCAUAAGAAGCAGAGAAUGGAGAAGGAAACAUCUGAAAAACACACAAAUUCCUUUAAAAAUUAAAAAAGAGAAAGUAGAGAAACAGAAGGAACAAAUAAAUAAGGCAAUACUGAAGAGGAUAUAGGUAUUUAGAAAAAACAGGGCUCAUAAGGGACUGGGUAGAAACUGCAUAGUUAACUAUAGUUCUAGUUCAAACGUAUAGAUCUUAAUCAGAAUAUGUAAAACAGUAUAAGAACCUCCAAGCUAGCUUUAGCUCGACAGUGUUAUUUACAUUUCAAUUUGAUGUAUCAUACAUCACCACCUUAUUGUAGUACAAAAAUUACCCAGCAUAGGAUCCAAGUGAUGGCAUUUUAAAAACAAAUAUACCUGGAAGCAGGUUUGGGCAAGCUAAUGUAUUCAUAGGACAGCAUUAAUCCAUUUCAGCAUCAUCUUUAAUGUUGUCUUAUUUUAGAUGACCGUCCAGGUUCCCAGGAGAACAAUGGCAAAAAGAUAUUUACAGUUCUGCAUAGUAUUUAAAUUCAGAGGGGCAUUGCAACCUAUUUGAAAUUCAGAUUAACUAGGAAUGACUAUUUGCAUCUGGCUGCAGAACAAUAGCUGCUACAUAAAGGACUAUUACACAUGUAUACCUGCCUCUUAACAGAAGAAACUUUCAAAAAUUAUAUACUAGAUUUGCCACAAUAUUUUCUAGCCCGUGUCGCACAGUUAAUACUUUCUUUUGUUACUGAUUUAGGAAGCACUCUGGACAUUUGUUUCUCCCAUCAGUGAAAAUUGAAUAUAUUC